AAAAACUUAGUUAAAUUAAUAACAUUAGAUUGUCAAACUAAAAUUGUCUAUUAGACAGUUUUUA
rnacentral:tRNA from 1 species